GUCUACGGCAUGCCACCCUGAACACGCCCGAUCUCGUCUGAUCUCGGAAGCUAAGCAGGGUAGGGCCUGGUUAGUACUUGGAUGGGAGACCACUGAGGAAGACCAGGAGCUGUAGGCU
rnacentral:rRNA from 1 species